rnacentral:rRNA from 1 species
GAUGAACGCUGGCGGCGUGCCUAAUACAUGCAAGUCGAGCGAACGGACGAGAAGCUUGCUUCUCUGAUGUUAGCGGCGGACGGGUGAGUAACACGUGGAUAACCUACCUAUAAGACUGGGAUAACUUCGGGAAACCGUAGCUAAUACCGGAUAAUAUUUUGAACCGCAUGGUUCAAUAGUGAAAGACGGUCUUGCUGUCACUUAUAGAUGGAUCCGCGCUGCAUUAGCUAGUUGGUAAGGUAACGGCUUACCAAGGCAACGAUGCAUAGCCGACCUGAGAGGGUGAUCGGCCACACUGGAACUGAGACACGGUCCAGACUCCUACGGGAGGCAGCAGUAGGGAAUCUUCCGCAAUGGGCGAAAGCCUGACGGAGCAACGCCGCGUGAGUGAUGAAGGUCUUCGGAUCGUAAAACUCUGUUAUUAGGGAAGAACAUAUGUGUAAGUAACUAUGCACGUCUUGACGGUACCUAAUCAGAAAGCCACGGCUAACUACGUG